UGUUCUAAUACGUGUCUUUGGUCCAGAGGGUCCUGAUGGCAAAGAACCGAGCAAAUUAGUGGUGCGAGGAUACAAGUGAGUUGGCUUCCAUUCGGACGUCUACGAUGAGACGAUGGACAGGGUGAAAGGCCUCGGCGUUGAUACCGAGUGCACUGGUGGUGGCAUAAUACAGCACGACCCCAGUGCCAAGGUCAUCAAAGUGUACAGCUACUCACAGGGGUUUGGGAAGGCAGACCACAGCAAGACUGUAGAAAUUCUGAAGACUGCAUAUCCUGUUU